GGAUCUGAAUCAACGGAGUCGCGAACAGGCUCCGAAAUGCCGAUCUGAAUUAACCGAGUCGCGAAUAGGCUCCGAAAUGCCGAACUGAAUCAAAACAAUCAACAAUACAUCCUAAAAGAGUUCGAUUUUUUUUUUGGAAAGAAAGAAUACAUUUUACUGACCACAAACUUUUGAACUCUAGUUUUUAUUGUUAGAAAAGAAUUCUAUUUUAAAUAAAUUCUCUUCUUUUUAACUUUCCAUUCAUCAAAGAAUCCUGAAAGAAUAUCACAGUUUCAGCAGCACAACUCUGAUAAUAAAUCAUCAUAUUAGAAUGAUUUCUGAAGAUCAUGUGACACUGAAGACUGGAGUAAUGAUGCUGAAAAUCACAGAAAUAAAAUAUAUUUUAAUGUAUAUUUAAAUAGAAACAUUUUGUGUUACUCCAUAAUAAUAUUUCACUUUUUCCCCCUGUACUUUUGAUCAAAUAAAUCAAGUCAAGUCUGCUUUAUUGUCAAUUUCCACAAGUACAGUACAUACAUACAGAUAAUCGAAAUUGCGUUACACUCAGACCCCAGUGCCCACAGAUAAUAUUAAAGCCUAAAAAUCUAGAUCAAAUAUAAAAUGUAGAUACAUACAAUAAGGGAAUGUAAAAAAAGGCAUAUAAUAAAAUUAAAAAUAAAGUUAAAUAAAGCAGCGCAAGGCAAAUGACAGAUUUUUUUCAUCAGAACAUAUCAUUCUGAUCCCAAACUCUGACCGAUGCGCGUGUGUGUGUGUGUGUGUGUGUGUGUGUGUGUGUGUGUGUGUGUGUGUAGCACUUACACACUAAUCCCCACAAUAAUAAAGAUGUUAAACACUCACCUGAAGAAACAAUGUUGCAUCCACCAAUCAGAAGUCUCCAUCUGUCAACUGUGGUGCUAAGUUUACAUUUGUUAGUACACACAAGAGACAGCAGAUGUCAUCAUUUCCACUUCUUAACAAAUCAAUUAAGUACAUACAAAAACUAACUUCAUGAAAGGACCAUACCUGUACCCAACACGGUGACCCAUAAAAGUAAAAUACAAGCAUAGUAUAUAAAUUUCAAACCACCACAGGAC
rnacentral:lncRNA from 1 species